GUGAACAUAAGUUUUUAUGACUCAAUUAAAUACAUAUAACCAUGGAACUGUUUGUAUGAAUGCAAUGCACAAUGUUAAAUCAAAGGAGUGAUACAGAGUUAAUUAAACAGAGGGAAGUAUUUUCAUACAAUCAUACUCAUUUUAAGUAUCAAUACAUCAAGGCACCAAUUAUAUUAUUUAAUUGUAAUAAACAAAAUAGGCUAACCAGCCACAGGUCCACAGUGGCACAUCAAGCAUUCUAGAUAUUUGAAUAUUAUAAAAACUAUCUAUUAAAUACUAAAUAGUAUGUAGUAUAAAUCUAGAUCCUCUAAACCUCUGUCAGUGGCCUUCUUGCGAAGUCUCUCGAUACCAUUUCUUGACCGUAUAAAAUCCAUAAAAAUGCUUAGUUUAUAUACACCGCAUAUAUAUUUAAUCUGUAACUUUUAGCACAAGAAAAUAAAUCUUUUUCAAUUGAUUUCAAUGUAAAAAGUAUCAAAUUUUCGACAAAUUCUACAAUUUUAUUUCUAAUUGAAACUAAUGACGCCCGCGCGAAUUCAGUGUUGCGGUUUGAGCAUGAGCAUGCGCACAACUAACCGGAUAUCCAAAAUUGGAUAUCCGGUAUUCCGUUUCUCCAGAGUCAUGCCCAGC